UCAGAAUCACUGCUGCCAUGACGCAGCAGGACAAGUGCCUGAGUGCUGUGGUUCUGCUUGUGUUCUUGCUGAGUGUGGGUCAUGCCAGCCAGAAUGAGAGGGGGGUCUAGAGAAAAAGCCUGGUUAUAGCACACCUGAGAAGUAAAUUUUAUAUACUUUGGGAUUUUUACCAGUAAUCCUUGCUCACAUACAAGUAGAGGAGACAAAUGAAAUAAAAACAAGACAAACAUUAGAGCUUCUUGUUGCCCUUGUGAGAAGAACAAGGUAGUGGAAGACACAAAGUCAUUGGAAGAGUAUAUAAAGAGCUUGAAGAAUUAACUUCUGAAUCCAGCAAACCAAUAAAGUAGAGAAAAUUAUGACACCAAUCUUCUAGCCUGAUUUCAGUAAGGAGUGGACUCAAAAUCUUCCAUAGUCCAGAAUCAUUUUGAAGAUCAUGAUUCCUGUGACUUCCUUGAAACCAAAGGUGGAGUGAUCCACCUUGAAGAAACCUCUUUUCAUCAGGAAAGAUGUCUAUUUUUCCUCAUCCCCUAGAAGUAGCAACUGAUUGCCUGAAAGUCAGUGAUCAACUAUAUAUAGUUUUUGCUUGGAAAGGACUGCCAUUG